GCAGGUUUUACUGUUCAUAUCAAAGUAAGAAAAGUAAUGAGGGAAAAACUUAUCCUUGUCCAAAGAAACACAUUUCAAGAGCUUAACUGUUUGAGGUGCUUGGAUAAAUUUCACUCGGAGAGCACAGUACCUCAUCAGGAACAAAGUGGCAUAAUAAAAGGAAUAAACCUAAGGGAAUGUAUUUUCUGGAGGACUCUCACUGAUACACCGGGAAACGAGAGACUGCAGUAAGGACACAUUAAACCUCUUCAGUGUUUUCCCGAAAUGUGUGUGCUGCCUCUACCCGCUUUUCUUAAUUCCUCUAUGUCUUCCAGAGGACAACCACAAAAGGCUCUGCACACUGACUGGCCACCUCUCAUUCAAAAGUUCUGUUUCCAUGCCUGAUCUGUCUCCCUCUACGUCUGUGGCCACCAGAGAUCACCACUAAUCAAGGAGCCUCCAAAUGCUGUCAGGGGAGAAGGGAGUACAAUAGGAUUUGGACUGAUGAAACUACUGACAUCACAAGAUGGUAUAUCUGACUCCGCUCUUUGCAUUACAACUUUGUCGACAAUGACAAAUCUAUUCCAAGACAACCAAAGUGUCCUUUUUUCAGAUAUGAAAGGAGAUCUGUCAAAAACCAGGGUGACGGAGAUGCCUCCCACAGCCACAAGGUCAAAACUGGAAAAGAAAACAAAAUUCUUUGUUCUUGUUUUAUCAUCACAUUACCAGAACUUCCAGUGAAUCACAAACAAAAACUUUAUAUUGCUCAAUAUGGUCCUUAAUUUACCAUGCAAAAUCAUUCCAGUAUAUCUUCCUGAUGUUACCAUAGUAGUCAUGAAGAAGCUUCACUUCUCUACAGUUUCUUUCUGUAUGCAUCAAUAGCAAGGAGACAAACAGACACAAAUGUCAGCCAGAUUGACUACGUCAGGGGAAGAUUCUGAACAGAUACAGUGCUGCUAAGCUACUGCUUCCUUCUGAGAUUCUGCUUAUCCACGAUCCUUAAGGAAAAUUCUGGCAGUUUUUAAUAAUAUUUGACUUAUGGAUGAGCAAUUUUUCAACAGCCUGGAAGACUUGAAGAUCAAGUGAAGUGUAGAGCGAUGAACUCCUUAGGGUGCCCCGUACACUGAAGAUCACUGCUGACAAAACCCAGAGACAUGGCUCAGGGCAAGUCUUGAGGCUCUGCCAUAACUCUAAAUGCAGAAGCAGACCCAUCAGAAUCCCAAAGUUCUCCGAUCUCUUUACCGUAUGAGGAAAUGAUAUCUGGGGUGCAUACAAUGCACUGGCCCAACCACAAGUCACAUUCCUUUGUAUUAUAAAGCCUGAAGUUUAAAACCAUGGCAAGGAUGGGCUGCUGCUCACACACAGACCUUCAAUGCUCUUCAUUCUCCUAAAGCAUACCAGAUGUGAGGGUAAAGAAAUGAAAUACUCAGGAAAAGCUUUUAAAUCCAAGUUAAAUCCCAUCAAUGAUAGCUUUAAAAGAUCAGUUCCUUAUAUCUACAAAAGCAUGGUGAUGGGAUUAUGUGCAAUCUGGCUGCUAACAUUUGCAGUGCCACAGAAGACCAUUCAGGUGACUUGAGUGCUCACCUCCUCUGUGAAAACACCUUGUGGUGAGACAUUUUGAUGAGGAAAAUCUUUCACUGGUGACUUGUGUUUUAAACUGCAGUCUGCUGCAUGGUAUGUACAGUCAGCCAAGGAUCUUGUACCUUGCAGGUACAAUAGCACUGUUCCAUCAGUGCUGUACUCAGAGAGACCCAGCUUUGUUAGGUGGGUGCUCUUCAUGCAGUUCAUUUUC